CGGGGUAGCUCAGCGGUAGAGCAACUGAUUCGUAAUCAGUCGGUCGGGGGUUCAAAUCCCCUCCCC
rnacentral:tRNA from 1 species